GACGAACGCUGGCGGCGUGCCUAACACAUGCAAGUCGAACGGAGAGGUUAUGAACAAGACUUCGGUCAAGUGAGUAAUUUUCUUAGUGGCGGACGGGUGAGUAACGCGUGAGCAAUCUGCCUUUCAGAGGGGGAUAACGUUCUGAAAAGAACGCUAAUACCGCAUAACGUAUAUUUGUGGCAUCGCAGAUAUCCAAAGGAGCAAUCCGCUGAAAGAUGAGCUCGCGUCUGAUUAGAUAGUUGGUGGGGUAACGGCCUACCAAGUCGACGAUCAGUAGCCGGACUGAGAGGUUGAACGGCCACAUUGGGACUGAGACACGGCCCAGACUCUACGGGAGGCAGCAGUGGGGAAUAUUGCACAAUGGGCGAAAGCCUGAUGCAGCAACGCCGCGUGAGGGAA
rnacentral:rRNA from 1 species